UUUCAUAACUGUAAAGUAAAAAGUCAGCUGAUUAAAAUGUAUCAUAGCUGAAUUACUGAAAAUAUGUGAUCUAAUUAUAAAAUAUACAGGUUAGGUCUGCCUGAAAUACUUGCCCCUCUUUUUACGACCAUGUGGAAAUCCGAGCAGUGGAUCAAAUGUUGGAGUUCCAUCAGUUUCUGGAUAUGGACCUGGAUGAGCCCAGGUGUAUAUUGUAUUACCCAUUUCUACUCCAGUGAUUUGAAAAAUCAAGAAAUAAUGUACAGCUAAAAA